rnacentral:lncRNA from 1 species
AGACAGUGACUAGUCUGCCCUGUUCUCAGCUAUAUCCUCAGCACCUAGGACCAGCAGUGCCUGGGAUACUAUAACCACUCAAGAAUCAUGAAGAAGUAAAGUAGGCAUGACUUCAAGCUGACCAUAGGGAAAUCCCCCCACCAGGAGCUGCGGAUGUCAGAGAGAGAAACACAUUCCUGCUGAUAUGUGGCAGGGAGGGAGCCGGGAACAAAUGCCUCCUCUCUCUCAUUCCUUCACAUCCUCUUAGAUUCCCGGAUGAUGGCUCAUUGGCUGAGCCUCACCAGAAGCCAGAGGUAAGAGACGCUGAGUGGCAAUAUUUCACCAUAACUUACUCAGAAGGGACAUACAGAGAGGGACUUUCUUUCCUUUCUCAAAAUAAUCACGAAUCUAGAGUCACUCCUAACAAAGCUAAC